rnacentral:tRNA from 1 species
AUUCUAGUAGCUUAACUAAAG